rnacentral:rRNA from 1 species
ACGAACGCUGGCGGCGUGCUUAACACAUGCAAGUCGGACGAGAAAGCUCUUCGGAGUGAGUAGAGUGGCGCACGGGUGAGUAAUAGAUAGGAACGUACCGAGUAGAGGGGGAUAACCACGGGAAACUGUGGCUAAUACCGCAUGAUAUCGGGAGAUCAAAGGAGGCCUCUCCAUGGAAGCUUUCGCUAUUUGAACGGCCUAUCUCCCAUUAGCUAGUUGGUGGAGUAAAGGUUUACCAAGGCGACGAUGGGUAGCUGGUCUGAGAGGAUGAUCAGCCACACUGGAACUGAGACACGGUCCAGACUCCUACGGGAGGCAGCAGUGGGGAAUCUUGCACAAUGGGCGCAAGCCUGAUGCAGCAACGCCGCGUGGGUGAAGAAGGCUCUUGGGUCGUAAAGCCCUUUCGACUGGGAAGAGGGGUUUUGGUUUUAAUACAACUAGAAUUUGACGGUACCAGCAGAAGAAGCACUGGCUAAUUCCGU